AUAGGGCUUGGUUGUCCAAUUCUCUCUUUCAAGUCAACCAUAGUCAACUUUGCGUUCUUCAGGGGCGGGUGUGUAAGAUUCUGCCGUUUUCGUAACACAAACUCUCCAGCGUUAGAAACCGAUACAAAAUCUAACCACAUAGAUGUCAAACGAAAUCGUACAACAAGGGUAGCAUACAGUACCACAAGGGACAACUCAGACCAGAGCGACGAGGCAGCCAUGAAUGUGUUUAGGUUAGCGGGGGACAUGACCCACCUCCUCAGCAUAAUUGUUCUUCUCCUCAAAAUCCGCACAAUGAAAUCCUGUGCUGGUAUGUAUACAUACUGUAUACCUGUGUAAAAAAGUGUGUGUCAAUUUCUGCAGUAUUUCUUUGAUUUGGCGAAGUUUUAUUGAUUUGAUAAUAAAAAUUAUAUUGCAGCUUAUCGAUACUGUUUUAUUUGCGAGAAAUGUGACGGUCGUCUAGUUUAGUGCUGGGAGUUCGGAUCAGGGUUUGGAAUCCAGUUAUAAAAUUAGCGUUUUCAUUUGAAAAAUUCACGAUUGACAAAGAUAAAUUUUUGAAUGAACGGAAUUUGAUCAGUGACCGAAAAUGUGCAACUGCUUUGUAAAUCUUCUGAACAAUGACCCAUGAAUAUCAAGCACACUCAAAUUUAGUAAUACCGUGGGUGAAAAAUGCAAGAUUUUGGCAAACAAUCUGUAAGCCAACGCUGCUAAAUUUGGAAAUCAUGGCUUUCUUCUCUCCCUGAAGUUUAUGGAAAUGGUUUUGUUUUUAUCAUCCUCCUCUGUGACUGGGUUUUAAUUUUGUGCUGGUUUUUCAAAUUAAUAUCUG
rnacentral:lncRNA from 1 species